rnacentral:rRNA from 1 species
CAGCAGCCGCGGUAAUACGUAGGGUGCAAGCGUUGUCCGGAUUUAUUGGGCGUAAAGGGCUCGUAGGCGGUUUGUUGCGUCUGGUGUGAAAGCUUACUGCUUAACGGUAGGUUGCGCUGGAUACGGGCAGGCUUGAGUGCAGUAGGGGAGACUGGAAUUCUCGGUGUAACGGUGGAAUGUGUAGAUAUCGGGAAGAACACCUAUGGCGAAGGCAGGUCUCUGGGCUGUUACUGACGCUGAGGAGCGAAAGCGUGGGGAGCGAACAGGAUUAGAUACCCUGGUAGUCCAUGCUGUAAACGGUGGACGCUGGAUGUGGGGCCCAUUUCCACGGGUUCUGUGUCGGAGCUAACGCGUUAAGCGUCCCGCCUGGGGAGUACGGCCGCAAGGUUAAAACUCAAAGAAAUUGACGGGGGCCCGCACAAGCGGCGGAGCAUGCGGAUUAAUUCGAUGCAACGCGAAGAACCUUACCAGGGCUUGACAUAACCUGGAUGAUGCCAGAGAUGGUGUGUCCCUUCGGGGCUGGGUUACAGGUGGUGCAUGGUCGUCGUCAGCUCGUGUCGUGAGAUGUUGGGUUAAGUCCCGCAACGAGCGCAACCCUUGCCUUGUGUUACCAGCGGGUCGUGCCGGGGACUCACAAGGGACCGCCGGGGUUAACUCGGAGGAAGGUGGGGAUGACGUCAGAUCAUCAUGCCCCUUACGUCCUGGGCUUCACGCAUGCUACAAUGGCUGGUACAGCGGGAUGCGAUACUGUAAGGUGGAGCGGAUCCUGUAAAACCGGUCUCAGUUCGGAUCGGGGCCUGCAACUCGGCCUCGUGAAGGUGGAGUCGCUAGUAAUCGCGGAUCAGCAGUGCCGCGGUGAAUGCGUUCCCGGGCCUUGUACACACCGCCCGUCAAGUCAUGAAAGUGGGCAGCACCCGAAGCCGGUGGCCUAACCUGUUGUGGGGGGAGCCGUCUAAGGUGAGGUUCGCGAUUGGGACUAAGUCGUAACAAGGUAGCCGU